rnacentral:ribozyme from 1 species
UACCCAGCAACACCUAUCCCUACCUCCUCGUGGUACUGGCCGGGGUACGAGUAUCCUUGGGGAAGAUCGGGUAACCAACCACCGGUGGGAACUUUGGUCGUAUGCUGACAGUGAAGG